rnacentral:rRNA from 1 species
AACGAACGCUGGCGGCAGGCUUCAUACAUGCAAGUCGGGCGGCAAGCCCCCUUCGGGGGGCCUAGAGCGGCGAACGGGUGAGUAACAGGUGGAUAAUCUGCCCUUCGGUGGGGGAUAACGGCUGGAAACGGCCGCUAAUACCGCAUGCGAUUCCCGGGCUUUGGGGCCGGGGAAGGAAAGGGGCCGCAAGGCCCCGCCGGAGGAUGAGUCCGCCCCCCAUUAGCUAGUUGGCGGGAUAACAGCCCCCCAAGGCGACGAUGGGUAGCCGAGCUGAGAGGUUGGCCGGCCACACUGGGACUGAGACACGGCCCAGACACCUACGGGUGGCAGCAGUAGGGAAUCUUGGACAAUGGGCGCAAGCCUGAUCCAGCCAUGCCGCGUGAGUGACGACGGUCUUCGGACUGUAAAAGCUCUUUUCUCGGGGACGAACGGGCGCCGGAGGCAAUGCCGGCGUUGUGACGGUACCCGAGGAAUAAGCCACGGCUAACUCCGUG